AUGUUUAGCCGCAUGUUCUCCUUAAAUUGCUGGCUGUCUGAGUGGUGUCCCAGAAACAAUGUGGACUUCAUAGAUAACUGGGAAACCUUCUGGAGGGAACCUGGUCUUGUUAGGAGAGACGGCAUUCAUCCCACUUUGGAUGGAGCAACUCUCAUUUCUAGAAAUCUGGUCAAAUUUAUUAAACCCCCCCAAAAUAUGACUAUCCAGAGUUGGGACCAGGAAGCAGAGUUGCAGUCUUACACGCCUCUCUGCAGCUUCUCUCCUCCUGCUACCCCCCAAAAACCCAUCUCCAUUGAGACUGUGUCAGCUCCCAAACAGACAAAAAACAAACUAAAAACCAGCAAUAAACAACUUAAACAUAAAAAAUCCCAAAGAAAGAACAAUACAGUAUCCACAUCUGAACCAAAGAGUAAAACAGUGAAAUGUGGAUUAUUUAAUAUUAGGUCUCUCUCCUCCAAGUCUCUGUUAGUACAUGACUUAAUAAUUGAUCAACAAAUCGAUUUACUCUGCCUUACAGAAACCUGGUUGCAGCAGGAUGAGUAUGUUAGUUUAAAUGAAUCAACACCCCCGAGUCAUUCUAACUACCAGAAAUCCCGAAGCACAGGCCGAGGGGGCGGUGUGGCAGCAAUUUUUCACACCAGCCUAUUAAUCAACCAAAGACCAAGACAGACUUUUAAUUCAUUUGAAAGCCUGAUGCUGAGCCUUGUCCACCCCAGCUGUAAAACUCAGAAACCAGUCUUACUUGUUACCAUCUAUCGUCCACCUGGGCCUUACACAGAGUUUCUCUCUGAUUUCUCAGACUUUUUAUCUGAUUUAGUGCUCAGCUCAGAUAAAAUAAUUAUUGUGGGUGAUUUUAACAUCCAUGUAGAUGCUAAAAAUGACAGCCUCAACAUCGCAUUUAAUCUGUUAUUAGACUCAAUUGACUUCUCUCAAAAUGUAAAAGAACCCACCCACCACUUUAAUAAGUGUCUUUAUCCUGUUUUCCUUCUCUCACCCCAACCGGUCACAGCAGAUGGCCCCGCCCCUCCCUGA
rnacentral:lncRNA from 1 species